rnacentral:rRNA from 1 species
AUUGAACGCUGGCGGCAUGCUUUACACAUGCAAGUCGGACGAGUGGCGAACGGGUGAGUAACAUAUCGGCACGUACCGAGUAAUGGGGGAUAACUAAUCGAAAGAUUAGCUAAUACCGCAUAUUAUUCGAGCGGCCGAUAUCUGAUUAGCUGGUUGGUGGGGUAAAGGCCUACCAAGGCGACGAUCAGUAGCGGGUCGGAUAGGAUGAUCCGCCACACGGGUACGGAGAAACGGCCCAGACUCCUACGGGAGGCAGCGUGGGGGAAUUUUGGACAAUGGGAGCAAGCCUGAUGCAGCCAUGCCGCGUGUCGUAAGAAGGCCUUCGGGUUGUAAAGGACUUUUGUCAGGGAAGCGGUACCUGAAGAAUAAGCACCGGCUAACUACGUGCCAGCAGCCGCGGUAAUAC